UUGGCCUCGAAUCAGGUAGGGAUACCCGCUGAACUUAAGCAUAUCAAUAAGCGGAGGAAAAGAAACCAACAGGGAUUGCCUUAGUAACUGCGAGUGAAGCGGCAAGAGCUCAAAUUUGAAAUCUGGCGCCUUUGGCGUCCGAGUUGUAAUUUGGAGAGGCAUCUUCGGGUGCGGCGCCGGCCUAAGUUCCUUGGAACAGGACGUCAUAGAGGGUGAGAAUCCCGUUCUCGGCUGGCUGUCCGCGUCCAUGUGAAGUGUCUUCGACGAGUCGAGUUGUUUGGGAAUGCAGCUCAAAAUGGGUGGUAAACUCCAUCUAAAGCUAAAUACUGGCGAGAGACCGAUAGCGCACAAGUAGAGUGAUCGAAAGAUGAAAAGCACUUUGAAAAGAGAGUUAAAAAGUACGUGAAAUUGUUGAAAGGGAAGCGCUUGAGACCAGACUCGGCGGGAGGUAUUCAUCGUCCCUUCUGGGGCGUGCACUUGCCUCUCGUCGGGCCAGCAUCGGUUGCGGCGGCGGGAUAAAGACCCGGGGAACGUGGCUGCUCUCGGGCAGUGUUAUAGCCCCGGGUGUCAUGCCGCCUGCUGCGACCGAGGACCGCGCUCG
rnacentral:rRNA from 1 species